rnacentral:rRNA from 1 species
AUUGAACGCUGGCGGAAUGCCUAACACAUGCAAGUCGAGCGGGGUGUAGCAAUACACCUAGCGGCGGACGGGUGAGGAAUACAUAGGAAUCUACCUUUAAGUGGGGGAGUAGCCCGGGGAAACCCGGGAUUAAUACCGCAUGAUCUCGCAAGAGCAAAGCGGGGGACCGGUAAGGCCUCGCGCUGAAAGAAUGAGCCUAUGUCGGAUUAGCUAGUUGGCGGGGUAAAGGCCCACCAAGGCGACGAUCCGUAGCUGGUCUGAGAGGACGAUCAGCCACACCGGAACUGAGACACGGU